GUGAGGAAUAUUGCGCAAUGGAGGCAACUCUGACGCAGCCAUGCCGCGUGCAGGAAGAAGGCGCUACGCGUUGUAAACUGCUUUUAACCGGGAAGAAACCCCAGGACGUGUCCUGGGUUGACGGUACCGGAGGAAUAAGCACCGGCUAACUUCGUGCCAGCAGCCGCGGUAAUACGAAGGGUGCAAGCGUUAUCCGGAUUCAUUGGGUUUAAAGGGUGCGUAGGCGGAGCGUUAAGUCAGUGGUGAAAUCCUGCAGCUUAACUGUAGACUUGCCAUUGAUACUGGCGCUCUUGAGUGCGCUUGAAGUGGGCGGAAUGUGCCGUGUAGCGGUGAAAUGCUUAGAUAUGGCACAGAACACCAAUUGCGAAGGCAGCUCACUAAGGCGAUACUGACGCUGAGGCACGAAAGCGUGGGGAGCAAACAGGAUUAGAUACCCCUGUAGUCC
rnacentral:rRNA from 1 species